rnacentral:rRNA from 1 species
CGGAGGGUGCAAGCGUUAUCCGGAUUCACUGGGUUUAAAGGGUGCGUAGGCGGGCAGGUAAGUCCGUGGUGAAAUCCCCGAGCUUAACUCGGGAACUGCCAUGGAUACUAUUUGUCUUGAAUAUUGUGGAGGUAAGCGGAAUAUGUCAUGUAGCGGUGAAAUGCUUAGAUAUGACAUAGAACACCAAUUGCGAAGGCAGCUUACUACACAGUUAUUGACGCUGAGGCACGAAAGCGUGGGGAUCAAACAGGAUUAGAUACCCUGGUAGUCCACGCCCUAAACGAUGAUUACUCGACAUCAGCGAUACACUGUUGGUGUCUGAGCGAAAGCAUUAAGUAAUCCACCUGGGAAGUACGAUCGCAAGAUUG